GCCUAGCCGUAACACACAAUCAAAUUACCAAUUGUUCGCCAAACAACUACGAGUAACACUUAAAACUUAAAAGACUUGACGGUACUUCACCCCGACCUAGAGGAGCCUGUCUAAUAACCGACAACCCACGAUUAACCCAACCACUUCUUGCCCAACAGUCUAUAUACCGCCGUCGCCAGCUUACCUUGUAAAAGAAAUAAAGUGAGCUAAACAGUAACACACUAAAACGACAGGUCGAGGUGUAACUUAUGAAGAGGACCAAGAUGGGCUACAUUCUCCAACAGAGAAUACGAACAACACUAUGAAAUUAAUGUUUGAAGGCGGAUUUAGCAGUAAGAUAAGAACAAAACACUUAACUGAACACAACGCAAUGAAGUGCGCACACACCGCCCGUCAUCCCUGCCACCACAAUAUUAAAUCUCAAUAAAUCAACUUAAAAAGCAACCAGGGCAAGUCGUAACAUGGUAGGUGUACUGGAAAGUGUACCUAGAAA
rnacentral:rRNA from 1 species